CCGCUAUGGAAGUUCGAACAGAGUCUGGUUCUUGUAGAAGGCUGAAAGGAGGCCGCUUAUUGUAGAAGCUCGAUCGAAGAUCAGUUGUCGUGGAAGCUCGAAGUAGUGACCUGGCCGAUGAAGGCUGUCCCAUUGUAGAAGCUCGCUAGGGAUCUGGAGUAGAUACUCGAAGUAGACCGCCUGCUGUAGGAGUUCAGAGUAGACUGCUUGCUGUAGAAGUUUGGCUCUUGCAGGAGCUCG
rnacentral:lncRNA from 1 species